AAUCAGGAUUCCAAAAGAGUGGUCAGGCACUGCUGGAAUGGGCUGCCCAAGGAGGUGGUUGAGUCACAGUCCUUGGAGGCAUUCAAGAAACGUUUAGAAACGUAGUACUAAGAAACAUGGUUUAGUUGGGAAAUAUUGGUGACAAUGCUGCAGUCUCACGUGUAUGCAAAAUGCUGAGCAAAGGAGGAGGGAGGAAGCUGUCUGCAGCACAAAGGGAAAAGGCAAUGAAGGAGAGAGGUGACAGAAAAGAAAAGAAUCUCCAAAUUUCUCUGGGGAUCUAUGAUUUCUCAACUCUAGCCUUCAGCAGGAAAGUUUUACAGACCUUGCCUCUCAGUACCACGCAACCCAGAUGUUCCCAGCUUGGGGACCCAGAAGAGCCGAGCCUCUCUGGGCAAGAGGAAAUGCUCCAGCCCCAGAAGAGCCACAGCAGCAUCCUCCAACUUGUGGCAUUUCAAAAAUGCUGGGUUCAACAUGAAA